UGGAACUCAUGCCCGGGUGAAAACUGCAGC
rnacentral:piRNA from 1 species